GGUCAAGUGAUUAAGCGCAUAUGGUGGAUGCCUUGGCAGUAAGAGGCGAUGAAGGACGUAGAAACCUGCGAUAAGCCCCGGUUAGUCGGUAAACAGACGUUAUACCCGGGGAUUUCCGAAUGGGGAAACCCACCGCAUCUGCGGUAUCCUUACCUGAAUUCAUAGGGUAAGGAAGCGAACCUGGGGAACUGAAACAUCUAAGUACCCAGAGGAAAAGAAAUCAAAUGAGAUUCCCUAAGUAGCGGCGAGCGAACGGGGACUAGCCCUAAAACUGACAUUGUUCUAGUGGAACACUCUGGAAAGUGUGGCCAUAGUGGGUGAUAGCCCCGUACACGAAAGAGCAAUGUUGGCUAUUCGAGUAGGUCGGGACACGAGAAAUCUUGACUGAACAUGGGGGGACCAUCCUCCAAGGCUAAAUACUCCUUACUGACCGAUAGUGAACGAGUACCGUGAGGGAAAGGCGAAAAGAACCCCUGUUAGGGGAGUGAAAUAGAUCCUGAAACCGUAUGCGUACAAGCUGUAGGAGCAGACUUUGUUCUGUGACUGCGUACCUUUUGUAUAAUGGGUCAGCGACUUACUUCUCAGUAGCAAGGUUAACCGUUUAGGGGAGCCGUAGGGAAACCGAGUCUUAAUAGGGCGAAUUAGUUGCUGGGAGUAGACCCGAAACCGGGCGAUCUAGCCAUGGCCAGGUUGAAGGUUGGGUAAAACCAACUGGAGGACCGAACCCACUUAUGUUGAAAAAUGAGGGGAUGAGCUGUGGCUAGGAGUGAAAGGCUAAUCAAGCCCGGAGAUAGCUGGUUCUCCUCGAAAGCUAUUUAGGUAGCGCCUCGCGUCUUACCCUGGGGGGUAGAGCACUGUUACGGCUAGGGGGUCAUCCCGACUUACCAAACCGUUGCAAACUCCGAAUACCCAGGAGUACAAUCGCGGGAGACACACGGCGGGUGCUAACGUCCGUCGUGGAAAGGGAAACAACCCAGAUCGCCAGCUAAGGUCCCUAAAUGUAGCUCAGUGGGAAACGAUGUGGAAAGGCCCAGACAGCCAGGAGGUUGGCUUAGAAGCAGCCAUCCUUUAAAGAAAGCGUAAUAGCUCACUGGUCGAGUCGGUCUGCGCGGAAGAUAUACCGGGGCUCAAGCUACAUACCGAAGCUGCGAAUGCUGCUCAUUUUCGAAUGGGUAUGCAUGGUAGAGGAGCGUUCUGUAAGCCUGCGAAGGUGUGCUGUGAGGCAUGCUGGAGGUAUCAGAAGUGCGAAUGCUGACAUGAGUAACGAUAAGGGGAGUGAAAAACUUCCCCGCCGAAAACCCAAGGUUUCCUGCGCAAUGCUAAUCAGCGCAGGGUGAGUCGGCCCCUAAGGCGAGGCAGAAAUGCGUAGUCGAUGGGAAACAGGUUAAUAUUCCUGUACCUUACAUUAUUGCGAUGGGGGGACGGAGUAGGCUAGAUCAUCCGACUGUUGGAUAUGUCGGUUUAAGCAAGUAGGUAGAUCUCUUAGGCAAAUCCGGGAGAUUAUUACUGAGAUGUGAUGACGAGCUCUCUUUUGAGCGAAGUGAUUGAUGCCAUGCUUCCAAGAAAAGCCUCUAAGCUUCAGAUAAUGUAAGACCGUACCCCAAACCGACACAGGUGGGUGAGGAGAGAAUCCUAAGGCGCUUGAGAGAACUCUGGUGAAGGAACUAGGCAAAAUAGCACCGUAACUUCGGGAGAAGGUGUGCCCUCAAUGGUGAUGAGACUUGCUCUCUAAGCUGAUGAGGGUUGCAGUGACCAGGUGGCUGCGACUGUUUACUAAAAACAUAGCACUCUGCAAACACGAAAGUGGACGUAUAGGGUGUGACGCCUGCCCGGUGCUGGAAGGUUAAUUGAUGAGGUUAGUGCUUGCACGAAGCUUUUGAUCGAAGCCCCAGUAAACGGCGGCCGUAACUAUAACGGUCCUAAGGUAGCGAAAUUCCUUGUCGGGUAAGUUCCGACCUGCACGAAUGGCGUAACGACGGCCACACUGUCUCCACCAGAGACUCAGUGAAAUUGAAUUUGCGGUUAAGAUGCCGUAUACCCGCGGCUAGACGGAAAGACCCCGUGCACCUUUACUACAGCUUCACAUUGAACUUUGAACCUAUCUGUGUAGGAUAGCUGGGAGGCUUUGAAACCGAGACGCUAGUUUCGGUGGAGCCAAUCUUGAAAUACCAGCCUGGUAUGUUUGAGGUUCUAACUCAGGUCCAUUAUCUGGAUCGAGGACCAUGUGUGGUGGGUAGUUUGACUGGGGCGGUCUCCUCCCAAAGAGUAACGGAGGAGCGCGAAGGUACCCUCAGCACGGUCGGACAUCGUGCAAUGAGCGCAAGAGUAUAAGGGUGCUUGACUGCGAGACAGACACGUCGAGCAGGUGCGAAAGCAGGUUCUAGUGAUCCGGUGGCUCUGUAUGGAAGGGCCAUCGCUCAACGGAUAAAAGGUACGCCGGGGAUAACAGGCUGAUUCCGCCCAAGAGUUCACAUCGACGGCGGAGUUUGGCACCUCGAUGUCGGCUCAUCACAUCCUGGGGCUGAAGCCGGUCCCAAGGGUAUGGCUGUUCGCCAUUUAAAGUGGUACGCGAGCUGGGUUUAGAACGUCGUGAGACAGUUCGGUCCCUAUCUGCCGUGGGCGUUAAUAAUUUGAGAAGAGCUGCUCCUAGUACGAGAGGACCGGAGUGGACGAACCUCUGGUGUUCCGGUUGUCAUGCCAAUGGCAUUGCCGGGUAGCUACGUUCGGACAGGAUAACCGCUGAAAGCAUCUAAGCGGGAAGCCCCCUUCAAGAUUAGAUUAUUCUGGGAACUUGAUUCCCCUAAAGGGUCGUUGAAGACUACAACGUUGAUAGGCAAGGUGUGGAAGCACAGUAAUGUGUGAAGCUAACUUGUACUAAUUGCCCGUGAGACUUGACCAUAU
rnacentral:rRNA from 1 species